GGAGGAGUGGCCGAGUGGUCGAAGGCAGCGGUUUUGAAAACCGCCGUUGGGGUAACUCAACCAGGGGUUCGAAUCCCUUCUCCUCCGCCA
rnacentral:tRNA from 1 species